rnacentral:rRNA from 1 species
GACGAACGCUGGCGGCGUGCUUAAUACAUGCAAGUCGAGCGAGGCCCAUCCGGUGGCAACACCGGGGAAGGCCGAGCGGCGAACGGGUGAGUAACACGUGAGCAACCUGCCCCGAAGUCUGGAAUAACAUCGGGAAACCGGUGCUAAUACCGGAUCGCCCCACCUGACCGCAUGAUCGGGUGAGGAAAGAUUUAUCGCUUCGGGAGGGGCGUCGCGGCCUAUCAGCUAGUUGGUGGGGUAACGGCCUACCAAGGC